rnacentral:lncRNA from 1 species
AGCAAAUGAAUCCAGAUAGUAUUGGUAGUAGUAGUAGUACCUAUACCUCUGUUUUGUCAUCUUCACAGAGCAGGGUAUGUAUGCAUUUUGUAUGUAUGUAUGAACUAGGUGAUGAUAACAACCUCAUCUAUUAUCAAGCGGAGACCAUGCACAGGGCUGCUCGGAGAUGUGCACACGUACAUAUGUAUAUAUGUGGUGCAGACACGUAUGCU